UAGUCCACGCCGUAAACGAUGGUCACUAGCUGUUCGGACUUCGGUUUGAGUGGCUAAGAGAAAUUGAUAAGUGACCCACCUGGGGAGUACGUUCGCAAGAAUGAAACUCAAAGGAAUUGACGGGGGCCCGCACAAGCGGUGGAGCAUGUGGUUUAAUUCGAUGAUACGCGGGGAACCUUACCAGGGCUUAAAUGUAAGUUGCAUUAGUUAGAGAUAGCUAUUUCUUCGGACCACUUACAAGGUGCUGCAUGGUUGUCGUCAGCUCGUGCCGUGAGGUGUCAGGUUAAGUCCUAUAACGAGCGCAACCCUUGUUUCCAGUUGCCAGCACAUAAUGGUGGGGACUCUGGAGAGACUGCCGGCGCAAGCCGCGAGGAAGGUGGGGACGACGUCAAAUCAUCAUGGCCUUUAUGCCUGGGGCUACACACGUGCUACAAUGGCAGGUACAGAGGGCAGCGAAGCGGCGACGUGUAGCUAAUCCCUUAAAGCCUGUCCCAGUUCGGAUUGGAGU
rnacentral:rRNA from 1 species